rnacentral:rRNA from 2 species
CCGAAUGGGGAAACCCAGUGUGACUCGUCACACUAUCAUUAACUGAAUCCAUAGGUUAAUGAGGCGAACCGGGGGAACUGAAACAUCUAAGUACCCCGAGGAAAAGAAAUCAACCGAGAUUCCCCCAGUAGCGGCGAGCGAACGGGGAGGAGCCCAGAGCCUGAAUCAGCAUGUGUGUUAGUGGAAGCGUCUGGAAAGGCGCGCGAUACAGGGUGACAGCCCCGUACACAAAAGCGCAUGUGCUGUGAGCUCGAUGAGUAGGGCGGGACACGUGGUAUCCUGUCUGAAUAUGGGGGGACCAUCCUCCAAGGCUAAAUACUCCUGACUGACCGAUAGUGAACCAGUACCGUGAGGGAAAGGCGAAAAGAACCCCGGCGAGGGGAGUGAAAAAGAACCUGAAACCGUGUACGUACAAGCAGUGGGAGCACAGGUUUACCUGUGUGACUGCGUACCUUUUGUAUAAUGGGUCAGCGACUUAUAUUCUGUAGCAAGGUUAACCGAAUAGGGGAGCCGGAGGGAAACCGAGUCUUAAUUGGGCGUUAAGUUGCAGGGUAUAGACCCGAAACCCGGUGAUCUAGCCAUGGGCAGGUUGAAGGUUGGGUAACACUAACUGGAGGACCGAACCGACUAAUGUUGAAAAAUUAGCGGAUGACCUGUGGCUGGGGGUGAAAGGCCAAUCAAACCGGGAGAUAGCUGGUUCUCCCCGAAAGCUAUUUAGGUAGCGCCUCGUGAAUUCAUCUCCGGGGGUAGAGCACUGUUUCGGCUAGGGGGCCAUCCCGGCUUACCAACCCGAUGCAAACUGCGAAUACCGGAGAAUGUUAUCACGGGAGACACACGGCGGGUGCUAACGUCCGUCGUGAAGAGGGAAACAACCCAGACCGCCAGCUAAGGUCCCAAAGUCAUGGUUAAGUGGGAAACGAUGUGGGAAGGCCCAGACAGCCAGGAUGUUGGCUUAGAAGCAGCCAUCAUUUAAAGAAAGCGUAAUAGCUCACUGGUCGAGUCGGCCUGCGCGGAAGAUGUAACGGGGCUAAACCAUGCACCGAAGCUGCGGCAGCGA